CAGCCGCCGCGGUAAUACGGAGGGUGCAAGCGUUAAUCGGAAUUACUGAGCGUAAAGCGUGCGUAGGCGGUUCGUUAAGUCAGAUGUGAAAGCCCCGGGCUUAACCUGGGAACUGCAUUUGAAACUGGCGGACUAGAGUUGAGUAGAGGGGAGUGGAAUUUCAGGUGUAGCGGUGAAAUGCGUAGAUAUCUGAAGGAACACCAGUGGCGAAGGCGACUCCCUGGACUCAAACUGACGCUGAGGUACGAAAGCGUGGGUAGCAAACAGGAUUAGAUACCCUGGUAGUCCACGCUGUAAACGAUGUCAACUAGCCGUUGGUCCUAUUUACAGGAUUAGUGGCGCAGCUAACGCAUUAAGUUGACCGCCUGGGGAGUACGGCCGCAAGGUUAAAACUUAAAGGAAUUGACGG
rnacentral:rRNA from 1 species